AUCUCAGAAUUCGGGAUGUACUGUACUGUAUGUUCAUGUUAAAAGACAAAAUACAGCUAUUAACUUGAAAGUAAAGCAUUCUUGGUGUUUUUGGUCGCAUCAUGUGGCAAUAGUCUGUAU